AAGAUUAUUUUUUUGGAUUAAUUUUUUUACUAAUCAAAUCUAGUAAAAAUUAUUUUUCUUUGCAAUCAUUUUUUUAGAUAAAUGAUUCCUAUGAAUCAUCAGAUUACCCAUACCCCAACCAAAUAAAUUUUUAAACAAAAGCGAUCCAAAAGGAUCGUUAGAAUCUUUAGACUUACUGUGGGCCAUUUUGGUUAUUACGGAUGGAACU
rnacentral:lncRNA from 1 species